AUUCAGCCCUGAUGAUGGAUAUAAUAGUGAUGGUCAAAACAAUAAUGACGAUUUAAACAAUAAUGUCGUUUUGAACAAUGAGGAUGAUGGAAACGAUGAUGAUGGUGAUAAAAAUAAUGAU